AUGGCCUUAUCUAAUACUGUCAGUACAGAGGUAUGGCCUUAUCUAAUACUGUCAGUACAGAGGUAUGGCCUUAUCUANNNNNNNNNNNNNNNNNNNNNNNNNNNNNNNNNNNNNNNNNNNNNNNNNNNNNNNNNNNNNNNNNNNNNNNNNNNNNNNNNNNNNNNNNNNNNNNNNNNNCCAUUACCACUACCACUACUACUACUACUACCAUUACCACUAUCACUACUACUACUACCAUUACAGACCGGCCGACCAGCCACUGACUACCAUUACACUGACUACCAUUACCACUACCACUACACUACCACUACACUACUACCACUAAACUACACUACUACUGACUACCAUUACACUGACUACCAUUUCCACUACCACUACACUACCACUACACUAGUACUACACUACUACCACUACACUACACUACUACUGACUACCAUUACACUGACUACCAUUACCACUACCACUACCAUUACAGACCGGCCGACCAGCCACUGACUACCAUUACACUGACUACCAUUACACUGACUACCAUUACACUGACUACCAUUACCACUACCACUACACUACUACUACUAGCUGGCUCCCUGAAUAGGGCUGGACGUAUCUGUCCAGCCACUGACUACCAUUACCACUACUACUAUACUACUACUACCACUACCACUACACUGACUACCAUUACACUGACUACCAUUACCACUACCACUACACUACUACUACUAACUGGCUCCCUGAAUAGGGCUGGACGUGUCUGUCCAGCCACUGACCACCCCUACACUGACCACCCCUACACUGACCACCCCUACACUGACCACCACUACACUGACCACCACUACACUACUACUACUAGCUGGCUCCCUGAAUAGGGCUGGGCGUUUCUGUGCAGCCACUGACCACCCCUACACUGACCACCACUACACUGACCACCACUACACUGACCACCACUACACUGANNNNNNNNNNUAAGGCAGUCAGGCAGUAAGGCAGGCAGUAAGAUGAUAAGGCAGUAAGGUAGUAAGGCAGUAAGACAGGCAGCAAGGUAGUAAGGUUGUCACGCAGGAAGGCUGUAAGGUGGAAAGGCAGUAAGGUAGUAAAUGAGUAAGACAGUAGGGUAAUAAGGCAGUGAGGCAGUAAGGCAGCUAGGCAGCUAUGCAGCAAGGCAGUAAGGCAGUAAAAUCGUAAGGUAUUAAGUUAGUAAGGCAGUAACAUAGUAAAGUAGCAAGGCAGUAAGGCAGUAAGGCAGUAAGGUAGUAAGGUAGUAACAUAGUAAAGUAGCAAGGCAGAAAGGCAGAAAGGUUGUAAUGUAGUAAGUCAGGCAGCAAGGCAGUAAAACAGGCAGUAAGGCAGUAAAGGAGUAAGACUGUAAGGUGGUAAAGCAGGUAAUAUGGCAGUAAGGCAGGCAGUCUGGCAGCAAGAAAGUAAGUCAGGCAGUAAGGCAUGCAGUCUGGCAGCAAGAAAGUAAGUCAGGCAGUAAGGUAGUCAGGUAGUAAGGUAGUAAGNNNNNNNNNNAUAUAUAUAUAUACAUUAACGUGUGGAAGCACACAGCAAGACACAUUUAGGAAUUUGUACUUAUCUGUAAUUAAAAGGUGUAAUUCCCUAACAGUUGUGGCAGUUUGUCUCUAUCGUUUUGUUGAGUCUGACACGCUGUUCCAUGCAACAGUCCACCGAAUGGCUGCAUUAAACCCUGUUAAUACCACGCUCUUCAACCCACCAAAUUAUUUCCAGAAGGCCAGUUCCCCUUUGAGGGCCCAUCAAACAAGAUUUAAGGUAGACAUUUUAUCACACCCUCCCUACCGCACGGCCCGUGGCUGCCACAGAAAGACCAAGAGACUGACAGAGAGAGAGAGAGAGAGAGCAAGAGAGAGAGAGCGCGAGACAGAGACAGACAGAGAGAGAGAGAUUGAGAGACAGAGAGACAGAUUGAGAGAGAGAGAGACAGAGAGGGAGAUAGAGAGAUAGAAAAGGAGACAGAGACAGAGAGAGAGAUGCAAAAACAACACUUAUUCUCCACCGAAGGCCAAUAAUACAAUCUCGAACACUUUCUCUCAAUGUAAACACGAAUACUAGAAAAAGUCUAAGAUCCAAUAUUUUGACCUAAAUGAAACGUUUAGUUUUGAAUUAAUUAAUAAUAGCUUUUUAUUAACAUAUUACAUGUGCAAAGAAAAUGAAAAGGAAAGUUAAUUCAACAACAAAAAAUGUAUUUUAAAAUUUGACCUUAAGUAUUAUAUAAUCCAGAGGAUAUAUGACAUAGAGAAGUCCAGGAGGGAAACAUUUUUACAUUUAAUAAGAUUCAAGAAUUUGUAAACAAACAUAAUAAUCCUGAUGCAUAAAAUCCAAAAAUAAAUCACAUCGCUAAUUCCUGUAUGUCCUCUUUCGGCUCAGAAGUUAGUUUCCUUAAAAUGGAAUAGAGGGUAAACAUAUGACCAAAAACAAACAAACCGUUAAGUGGGUAUUACUGAUAGAUAAGAGCGGGGAGGAGNNNNNNNNNNNNNNNAAUAUAUAUAUAUACAUUAACGUGUGGAAGCACACAGCAAGACACAUUUAGGAAUUUGUACUUAUCUGUAAUUAAAAGGUGUAAUUCCCUAACAGUUGUGGCAGUUUGUCUCUAUCGUUUUGUUGAGUCUGACACGCUGUUCCAUGCAACAGUCCACCGAAUGGCUGCAUUAAACCCUGUUAAUACCACGCUCUUCAACCCACCAAAUUAUUUCCAGAAGGCCAGUUCCCCUUUGAGGGCCCAUCAAACAAGAUUUAAGGUAGACAUUUUAUC
rnacentral:lncRNA from 13 species